rnacentral:rRNA from 1 species
GACGAACGCUGGCGGCGUGCUUAACACAUGCAAGUCGAACGGAAAGGCCCUGCUUUUGUGGGGUGCUCGAGUGGCGAACGGGUGAGUAACACGUGAGUAACCUGCCCUUGACUUUGGGAUAACUUCAGGAAACUGGGGCUAAUACCGGAUAGGAGCUCCUGCUGCAUGGUGGGGGUUGGAAAGUUUCGGCGGUUGGGGAUGGACUCGCGGCUUAUCAGCUUGUUGGUGGGGUAGUGGCUUACCAAGGCUUUGACGGGUAGCCGGCCUGAGAGGGUGACCGGCCACAUUGGGACUGAGAUACGGCCCAGACUCCUACGGGAGGCAGCAGGGGGGAAUAUUACGCAAUAGGCGGGAGCCUGAUGCAGCAGCGCCGCGUGCGGAAUGACGGCCUUCGGGUUGUAAACCGCUUUCGCCUGUGACGAAGCGUGAGUGACGGUAAUGGGUAAAGAAGCACCGGCUAACUACGUG